GUCGCCUUUCGUGUCUUUUCAGCUCCGCAUCGCUAAAGUCGAUAAAUUCAUUCAUCUUGAAAGCGAUUUCCUAGGGUCCGCAAAACAAUUUCCUUCACGGCUCUUUUUUUUUUUUUAUUUUUACAAUCGAUGUUGCUGAUGAAUUUCGCGGGGAAUUUUCGCCGCUAUUAAUAGAUUUGUCUUAUGGUAUGAUGAAAUGGUCUUAUGGUAUGGUGAAAU
rnacentral:lncRNA from 1 species